UGGGGUGUAGCUCAGUGGUAGAGCACUUGCCUAGCAUAGGUAUGGCCCUGGGUUUGAUCCCCAGCACUGCUA
rnacentral:tRNA from 1 species